rnacentral:sRNA from 1 species
GGCGAAUUAGAAGAUGGUGAAAUAGACGAUGCAGGAUUUGAAGAAAUACAAGAGAAAGAAGCAAAAGAGAAUGAAAAGCAGAAAAGUGAGAAAGCCUACAGAAAAUCAAGAAAAAAACAUAAGAAAGAGAGAGAGAAGAAAAAAUCCAAAAGGAGAAAACGUGAGAAACAUAAGCAUAAUUCCCCAUCUAGUGAUGAUAGUUCGGACUACAGCCUUGAUUCAGAUGUUGAACAUACAGAAAGUUCCCAUAAAAAAAGAACUGGUUUCUACAGGGAUUAUGACAUUCCAUUUACUCAGCGUGGACAUAUAUCAGGAAGCUACAUAACAUCAAAGAAGGGUCAACAUAACAAAAAAUUUAAAAGUAAAGAAUAUGAUGAGUACAGCACCUACAGUGAUGACAACUUCGGUAACUACAGUGAUGACAACUUUGGUAACUACGGUCAGGAAACAGAGGAAGAUUUUGCCAAUCAGCUGAAACAAUACAGGCAAGCUAAAGAAACCGCAAAUAUUGCUUUAGGGUCAUCAUUUUCUAAAGAAUCAGGGAAAAAACAGAGAAUGAAAGGAGUUCAGCAAGGUAUUGAACAGAGAGUUAAAAGUUUUAAUGUUGGUCGUGGACGUGGCUUGCCGAAGAAAAUCAAACGAAAAGAACGUGGGGGAAGAACCAAUAAAGGGCCUAAUGUGUUUUCAGUAUCGGAUGACUUUCAAGAGGUACUAAGAAUUUAUAUAUAAGAAGGGGAGGAGCUUUUUCAUCUUUUAAUUUAUUUGAUGGCAAAGAAAGCAUUGCGAUUUUAAUGAUACUUCUCUAGUAAAUGAAAAAUUACCAGCUCAGAUAAAAUGAGUAUCAAUAACCUCCAAAAAAUAGUUGUUAAUUAGUUGUGAAACUAAUUUACAGAUUUUGCUGACUUUGAAAUAAAAUUGUUAUGUUUGAAAGAACCUCAAAAUAAAAUUGCUAAGUUUAAAAGC